rnacentral:rRNA from 1 species
AGUGAACGCUGGCGGUAGGCCUAACACAUGCAAGUCGAACGGCAGCACAGUAAGAGCUUGCUCUUACGGGUGGCGGGUGGCGGACGGGUGAGGAAUACAUCGGAAUCUACUUUUUCGUGGGGGAUAACGUAGGGAAACUUACGCUAAUACCGCAUACGACCUACGGGUGAACGCAGAGGAUCUUCGGACCUUGCGCGAUUGAAUGAGCCGAUGUCGGAUUAGCUAGUUGGCGGGGUAAAGGCCCACCAAGGCGACGAUCCGUAGCUGGUCUGAGAGGAUGAUCAGCCACACUGGAACUGAGACACGGUCCAGACUCCUACGGGAGGCAGCAGUGGGGAAUAUUGGACAAUGGGCGCAAGCCUGAUCCAGCCAUACCGCGUGGGUGAAGAAGGCCUUCGGGUUGUAAAGCCCUUUUGUUGGGAAAGAAAAGCAGCAGGUUAAUACCCCGCUGUUCUGACGGUACCCAAAGAAUAAGCACCGGCUAACUUCGUG